rnacentral:rRNA from 1 species
GACGAACGCUGGCGGCGUGCUUAAUACAUGCAAGUCGAACGGUAAGGCACUGGCUUUGUGGGGUGCUUGAGUGGCGAACGGGUGAGUAACACGUGAGUAACCUGCCUUUGACUUUGGGAUAACUUUUGGAAACUGGGGCUAAUACCGGAUAGGAGCACAUGUUGCAUGGCGUGUGCUGGAAAGUUUCGGUGGCUGGGGUUGGACGUGCGGCUUCUUUGUUUGAUGGUGAGGUAGUGGUAUCGCAAGGCCAAGACGGGUAGCCGGACUGAGGGGGUGACCGGCCACAGAGGGACAGGGAAGCGAGCCGUACUGCAUCGGGAGGAAGCGGUGGGAGAUUGUGCACGAAAGGCGGAGGGCGUGAGCAGCAUCUCCGCAUGGUGGAGGUCGGCCGUCAGAGUAGAAACCGCGUGCGCGUGGAACGAAGCGUGAGUGACGGUAACUGAUAAGAAAGCACCGGCUAACUACGUG